CCUGCAGUCGUGGGACCUAAAGUCCACGCUCCGGAACUCAGAGGAGUCGGAGGACCCCAGCGCAGAAUCCGCGGAGGCGCAACGCUUCAUCCACCGCGCUCCCAGAUGGGUUCCCAGCCCAGAUCCGGCCACGAAGACACAGAUGCGAAGGCUGUAGGGACUUCGGUGAUUGAAGCGGGAGCAGACAAUAAGAAAAUACGGUCCGAACCCGAGCAGGGAGCCGGAGCAGAAGUAGAAAGUCAUUUCUGCGCGGGAGCUGCCGACCCCACGGUCAAGUAGAACCAGAAGGGCGACGGUGGCGACCAGGAGCCCUCACAGUAGCAGCCUGAGGCUUCCAGCCCAGGACUCCUCCUCGGAGGAGCCACAACCUCAAUAUUAGCAGCGUAUCUUCAGCACCAGUGCGUUCAGCAGGUUGCACCUGAAGGAGCUAGACAGCAUUUUCCCACGCUCUGAAUAUCCCGACGUGUUCGCCGAAAGCAGCUUGCAAUAUGCAUGGAUAUGAGUAAAGCCGAAGUGGAAGCCAGUAAGCCUGAUGAAAGCAAUUGGUCAGAGUAGCCACUCUGAAACCUGCCUCAGUCCUUGGAUACCUUUGUCCUACACAUUCUUAAAUUGGCCUGUUUUUGUUGCCUUUUCUAUGUUUGCCAAGUGAGUUUUCAACUUUAGUGGGGGAGUAAUGGGAUACAUAAACCUUAGCCUAUGGAAAUUUCCCAUUACCAGAGGGAAUAUGCUUUCUA